rnacentral:rRNA from 1 species
AGUGAACGCUGGCGGUAGGCCUAACACAUGCAAGUCGAACGGCAGCACAGUAAGAGCUUGCUCUUACGGGUGGCGAGUGGCGGACGGGUGAGGAAUACAUCGGAAUCUACUUUUUCGUGGGGGAUAACGUAGGGAACUUACGCUAAUACCGCAUACGACCUACGGGUGAAAGCAGGGGAUCUUCGGACCUUGCGCGAUUGAAUGAGCCGAUGUCGGAUUAGCUAGUUGGCGGGGUAAAGGCCCACCAAGGCGACGAUCCGUAGCUGGUCUGAGAGGAUGAUCAGCCACACUGGAACUGAGACACGGUCCAGACUCCUACGGGAGGCAGCAGUGGGGAAUAUUGGACAAAGGGCGCAAGCCUGAUCCAGCCAUACCGCGUGGGUGAAGAAGGCCUUCGGGUUGUAAAGCCCUUUUGUUGGGAAAGAAAAGCAGCAGGUUAAUACCCCGCUGUUCUGACGGUACCCAAAGAAUAAGCACCGGCUAACUUCGUG